AUGCCUCAGAUGAGCUUUAUUCUCAUGUUUUUAGUGAUGAGAUUUUCUGCUUCUGAGGAAGUGAAGAAGAACCUGACGGGCACUGUGGGAGGAAACAUCACUCUACCUGCACCUGUGCUGGAGAAAGGAUAUCUGUUAUAUGGAAGAACGAUUAUUGCUGAUGUGAUUAAGGGAGAAUUUCAAGUAUUUGUGGAAAAGUACAAGAACCGACUUCAGUGGGACAGAAACUCUGGACUCUUUACACUCACAGAGCUGCAGAGGAACGACUCAGGGAUUUAUACUGUCGACUCUAAAACAGGAAAAGUUUUCACAUCAUCAUAUAAGCUGACAGUGUACGACUCUGUACCGACUCCUGCAGUGAAGAAAGUGAGUGUGAGCUCUGAGAGCUGCUCCUUACUGUGUUUGGUGGACAGAGAGACCACACUGCUGUGGUUUAAAGACGAGCAGAGACUGAACCAGAGCAGCUCUGCGCUCUCUCUGCCUCUCACUGUGCACAAACAGGACUUCAGCUCCUCUUACAGAUGUGUGGCUGCAAACCCUGCAGACGAGAAAACUCUUCCUGUCCCUGUGAAUACGACCUGUGGAGACACAGACGACACAGGUGUGACCUUCACUGAAACACUGGAAAUAACAACGCUUUUAGGUGCAGUUUGAAAUCGUCUUCUAAACCCGAGGAGAGGAACGUGAUCCAGAGCACAGCUGACCUCAAAAUGCAUGUUUUAGAGCAGAUUUUAGCUCUAAAUAUAUUAUUUCAUGCAGGUUUUCCCAGCAUAUAUCUUAUUACCAUUACUCUUCUGACUACACACAGUUAUACCCCCUGCCCCUCUGUGAUUUAAACGCAGCUCACACAGUAUAAAGGCUAACUCCAGCUGGAUGGAUAAAAUCGAAACAUAAAAGAAACAUAAAUGUUCUUUUGAAAUGUUGCACAGAUUUGAAACUCUGAGGUGAUCACAGGCCUCAUUCUCACAUGAGCAGCAUAGUUAAAACCUGCUUUUUACCAUCAGUGAAUGUGCAUGAAAUGCUGAAUGCUUCUGAUCCUGGAGGAUUGUAACUCACUGCUCACAGGAAUCACAAAACAGCAGCAGACUCUGCUUCAGCUCCUGGGUUUGAGUUUAAAAUGGGAAUCCGUCUACGAGCUGCACUGAGAUCAUCACAUCAGGUUUCCAGUUAGUUUUGUGGUUGAUUUUUAAAUCUCAGGGAUGUUUUUAAGGCCUGUGUGUCUGGGAGCUCAGUAUCUCUCUGCUGCUCUCACCUCCAUCGCGUUUAAAGGAGAAGUGGAGAGGAGAGGUGGACUGAUGUUUCCUCAACUCAUCUCUAAUCACACCUGAGAGGUUAAAGGUCAGCAUCCAGCCUUUUGUGUUUGAAAUGAUGAAGAGUACUAUAAACUAACAGAGUUUAUCUACAUGUGCUUUUGGUAAAAAUAAAUCCUCUUUAUUAUUAAUCAAAGAAGAGUUUCUGUUGUAUUGUUG
rnacentral:lncRNA from 1 species